UGAGCCACCCAGGCGCCCUAAUUACUAUUUUUUUAACGUUGAUCUUCAAAUGUUAAGCCAGCCUUGCAUUCCUGAGCUAAACCCCACCGGGUCAUGUUGUGUUACGCUUUGUAUAUAUCGCCGGGGUCAAUUUGUUUACGUGUUGGUAAGGAUUUGGGGAUGUAUGUUCAUGGAGUUGUCUCUGCAGGAAGGUUUUUAAUUAUGAGUCAUUUCUUCACGAUAAUAGGCUUUCCAUUUUUUCUUGAAUCCCUUUUGGUAUAUGCUGUGCCCGGGAGCCCCCCUCCCUUCUCUGUGACUCCAAACGCACCUGCGGGCAGAAAGCUGGGACAGUACUUGGACUUGAUUGGUCUGUUUCCCUUCUGGGCUGGGGGCCUGUAGUCCCGUGCUCCCUGUUGCCAGAGUCUGAAAACAGCUGUUCCAUGUAUUUUGUCCAGCUUUCUAGUUGCUUCUGGCAGAAGGGUGACUGUGGGCCGUGUUCUACCAGCAGGACCAGAAGGGGAAGCAUUGAGAAGUACAACAGUUCUCGUUACUGCAGGUGCUUUCGUAGCCGACUCUAUGAAGCCGGGACUCGAAGCCAUAGGAAGUGAAAUUCUGUAUGGCUUAGACUUCCUUUUAACCUCUGAUUGUAUUCCAAGUUGUACUUUAGCUGUCUUUCACAGAAAAUUAGUACCACUGUGUUUUAGAAAUUGAACUCUAAACCUUACUUCUCUCUCCAUUUAAGUUUCCUUCAGCAUUCGAGUUUAAUGAGCUAUUCUUGAUCACGAUCUUGGAUCACCUAUAUAGCUGUCUCUUUGGGACUUUUUUGUGCAACUGUGAACAGCAGCGAUUUGAAGAGGAUGUAUAUACGAAGACUAUAUCUUUAUGGUCAUAUGUCAAUAGCCAGCUUGAAGAAUUUUCUAAUCCUUUCUUUGUGAAUUAUGAAAACCACGUCUUAUAUCCCGUUGCUAGUCUGAGUCAUUUGGAACUAUGGGUAAACUAUUAUGUGCGGUGGAACCCACGAAUGAGGCCUCAGACGCCCAUUCACCAGAAUCUCAAGGAGCUGCUGGCCAUCAAGGCGGAGUUGCAGAAGCGGGUGGAGGACCUGCAGCGGGAGGUGGCCACGCGUGCCUCGUCGUCAUCCGAGCGGGGCUCCUCGCCGUCCCACUCAGUCACCCCCGUCCACACCUCCGUCUGAGGGGCUCCAGAGGACAGCAUUCGUGGUGACUCCGGCCAGCCAGGACCUCCUGCUCGGCGGCUCGGGCAAGGGACGGUAGCUUGUGAUCUUGUCUUUUAGGAUUAGGCCCAACGCCCUCCAAGUCUGGAUGGCACUUCCCACCAGUGACCAUUUGUGUGGCUAGGUGACCACUCCCACUGUCCUCAAGUGCUUUUUGUUUCGUGAACCGUUCCCUCGUGUCCGCGCGAUCCUGCGGCGGCCGCCUGGCUCUGGGGCCCGGGAGAGGCGCGGGAGCAUGGAGCGCGGGGCUUCGGGUUAAGGGGGCCCCGCUCCCUUUCUUUCCGAGGUAAGCCCUUCAUUUUCAGACACACGCCCUUCACUUACAGACCGCGCGCCAGCCGCGUGGCUGCUUGAGCUCUUCGCUACAAGGCGAAGACCGUUCUGAACUGAACUCUGGCGUCGGGGCAGCCGCGCCCUUGCCAAGCCUCCAGUCAGUCCUCUCGGCGUCUGGGGCCCUCCCGCACCAGUUACUGUUGUGUACAUAGAAGGUAUUUUUAAAAAAGAGAAACCUGCCUUUAUUUUCCUAUGUCCUUUUUUAUGUUUAGACUAGUCACUCGAGGAGGUUUCUGCUUAACUGGCCUGGGUGAGAAAUUCUUUUCAAACAAAGCGCAUGCCAACUUCAUGUGGUACAUCUACAACGUGGUUUGAAUGGGGCCGCUGAGAGGGCAUGGUGUCCCGCCCUCCCCCGACACCGGUGCUGGCCUCCCGAGGUGGCCCGGCCCGGGGACGGCAUGACCCUGCGCCGGCCUCCCCGGCCGCCCCCUCCCCGCUGCAGGCUGUUGGUAGGGAGCGAGCCCGCCCUGCCCUCCCAGCUGCGCCGCGGCAACGUUUCUCCCGGCCCGGAGACCCCUCCAGCUCCGUUCCCCGGCUGCGCGGUGGCACACCACCGCGCUCCCUGGCCUUCCGCUCCCUCCCCUGCCCACAG